rnacentral:lncRNA from 1 species
UGCCACAUGGUAUGUGGCUGGGCAGGGUUUCAUAAAGCAGAGCUGAGGAGGGAACAUGGGUGUUUUGUCCCCCAACCCAUUUCAGAAUCAUUUCCCUCUCCCUUAGUAUGAACUUGGGUGUGUAUGUAUUUGCACGCAGGCACACACACAAUCACAGGUAUUUAUGUAUGGAGCAUUUGGAUCAGACUUUUAAGAGCAGAUGUGAAAAUGCCAGUGACUUUAAAACAUGGCUGAUGGUAAGAACAAUUUUUUUUUCCUUUAAGGAAAUAGUAUAAUAGGGUGCCUAAGACGACUGGGUUUUGGAGUCAGGCAGUCUGUAAUGCUGGCUCCACCUCUCAGAAGUGGUGUGACUUCAGGAUGAGGAAACUGCAGGGGCCUUAGUUUCCUGAACUCUAAUAGUAAAAUAACAAUACCUAAUGCAUAGGCUUACUAGGAGCAUUAAGUAAAAUAAAAUUAUCUAAUAUGUGUGAAGUACUUAGCAUAGUCUCUGGCAUGCAAUAAAAUAAAACUAUUGUUAGUGUUAAUAGUCAACAAAUACUUCCUGACUGUCGACUCUGUGUCUGAUGCUUUGCUAGGAUAGAUGACUAUGAAGAAUAAGGCUGUUUUCACAGAUGUUCCUGGGUAAAGAUACGCUUUAAGUAUUUCCCUUGCAUAUACUAUCUAAGGGCAGCAGGUAGCAAUUGGGGUUUAUCCUGAGUGUUCGAUCCAGGUAUCUAAAGACUUGGCCUUUUGAAUGCACUGGUGACUCUGGGCUGAGAGAAGGAAAAGGCACCACCUUCCAGGAGAGAGAUUAUCUAUGGAGCAGCCCAUUCGGCCGCAUCCUAGGUUUUCCUAGGAGAUUUCCCCAUCGUCCAAAAACCAAUGAGGUCUGACCUUGCAAGAUGGAUGAGCUCCCAGCCCAGAGCCAUGUGACUGCAGCUGAGGACGAGCCCAUUCAUAACCCAGGCACAGACAGACCCGUUAGCGACAUUGCUGCGGGCGAGCUAUUACUUACAAUGUAGUUAGUGUCGUUUAACCAGAAUGGAUGGGACACAAUGUUUGAAAGAAGAGCCCUGAAUCUGACCAAGAGGAAAAUAAGUUAGAGCAGCAGCGGGCUGGUCUAGGGAAAGAGGGGGCAGAAACAGGGGUUUCCACUGAAGACAGGUCCUCUCUACUCAAUACAAUUGUUUUUCUUUAUUAAUAAAAUGUUCAAGAUUAAAGCUCCCACUGAAGGAUCUGAUGUGAGGUUAAAUCAUUGGGGAAAAGUGGACAUGGCUGCAGAAAGAGAAAAUACAAAUUAUAUGGGAGAAAGAAUAGCAGGGCUUAGGGACGGUGGUAACCAUGACCAUAGGGAUGGAGCAGUGGAAAUUGUAACUGUUUGGAAUUUUUUCUAAGGCCUGAUGUCUGGGAGCUCGUCUAAUUCUGCCACUUUAAGGGUCUACUCUGCAGUCCUCAAAGUUCAGAUGAUUCUUCCCCAAACCAUCAAAGACAGCCCUGGCUGUCUCUGAGUUCUUAUGCCCAUGAGGAUGACCUAUGAAUCCCAGAAAGAUACAGAAAUAUGUUGUGGCCAGUUUCCUGAUAGGACACACCAGUGGAUCCUAUAAUUCCAGCAGCCAGCUUGAGUCCCAUCUCCCCAGUGAAGUCUUUCAUGAACUACCCUGACCCCCAUUGCUUUCUUCUGCACCUGGCAGGAAGCUAGUAGCUAUAGAGCAGAAGAGUAUAAGGUUUGGGUGAGACAAAUGGGCUCCAACCCAAGAUCUACAACCUUUGAGCUGUGUAAACUUACCCUUUUAAGUAUCUGAUUCUUGCUAUAAAAUGGAUUAAUCAUAGUGCCUACUUCACAGAGUUGCUGUGAUUAUUGAGAAGAUGUAUAUAAAGUACUUAGCAUUGCAAGCAUUCAAUAAAGACUACUAUUUCUCUCUGGCAACCUCCCAUCAUCCUUUUCUGUUUCCAGAAUUGAGAAUCACCAGAGAACUCUGUUCCAGGAAUCAAGUGAUUAAAGUUACAGUUCCAGUGUCAUCACUAAAUAGCAAGGUGACCUUGGAUGCCUCAUUUUAUCAAAUCUCUCCAUUUUUCAACCUCUAAAAGUAGGAUAAUUUCACAGAUUUGUUAUAAGGAUGAAAAGAGAAAAUGGAUGGGAAAAGUUUGUGAAAGCCUUUGAGAUGUAGGACAAUAAAAAUGGGAAGAGAUCUGCUGGGAUGUUAUCUAGCCCAACCUUCCACCAGGGGCUCACUGAGACUCUGCAUGGAACUUUCACUAAUGGAAAAAUCACUCCCUCGCAGCAAGGUUUCAUUGUUGGCAGACACAAAAAGGACUUUCAAAAAUUAUUUUUAAAAUUUAAGAGAUAUUAUGUCUCUAGGAUGAUAUACAUGUUUCAAGUAGUAUUAAAAGCCACACUGAUGGAUAUGUAAUAAUA